CAGCCUGCCCAGUGACUCUGUUCAACGGCCGCGGUAUCCUAACCGUGCGAAGGUAGCGUAAUCACUUGUUCUUUAAAUGAGGACUAGUAUGAAUGGCACCACGAAGGUUAUACUGUCUCCUUUUUCUAAUCAGUGAAACUAAUCUUCCCGUGAAGAAGCGGGAAUAAAAAUAUAAGACGAGAAGACCCUAUGGAGCUUUAAACAAAUAUACAACUGUCCACACUACUAAAAAUUUCAGAAGAUAAACACUCACCUGGACACUUUGAUAUAGAGUUUUAGGUUGGGGUGACCACGGAGUAAAAAACAACCUCCGCAAUGAAAGGGAACUUUCCCUAAACCAAGAGCUACAGCCCUAAGUAUCAAUAAAUUGACACCAAUUGACCCAAUACAUUUGAUCAAUGAACCAAGUUACCCUAGGGAUAACAGCGCAAUCCACUUCAAGAGCCCCUAUCGACAAGUGGGUUUACGACCUCGAUGUUGGAUCAGGGUAUCCUAGUGGUGCAGCCGCUACUAACGGUUCGUUUGUUCAACGAUUAAAACCCUACGUGAUCUAU
rnacentral:rRNA from 1 species